rnacentral:rRNA from 1 species
AUUGAACGCUGGCGGCAUGCCUUACACAUGCAAGUCGAACGGCAGCGCGGGGCAACCUGGCGGCGAGUGGCGAACGGGUGAGUAAUAUAUCGGAACAUACCCUAGAGUGGGGGAUAACGUAGCGAAAGUUACGCUAAUACCGCAUACGCACUAAGGUGGAAAGUGGGGGAUCUUCGGACCUCAUGCUCAUGGAGUGGCCGAUAUCUGAUUAGCUAGUUGGUGAGGUAAAGGCUCACCAAGGCGACGAUCAGUAGCUGGUUUGAGAGAACGACCAGCCACACUGGAACUGAGACACGGUCCAGACUCCUACGGGAGGCAGCAGUGGGGAAUUUUGGACAAUGGGGGCAACCCUGAUCCAGCAAUGCCGCG